GAGGCUGUAGCUCAGUGGUAGAGCGCCCGGCUUUGAGCCGGGAGGUCGGGAGUUCGAUUCUCUUUAGCUUCUCCA
rnacentral:tRNA from 2 species